UGGGAACAGAAGGAAACAUGAGUGACGC
rnacentral:piRNA from 1 species